ensembl:lncRNA
AAUUAACUGUCUAAAUACACAAUAUUUUUUGCAUCAUUGUUAUAGUAUUGUCUAUUCUUUCCUCUCGUCAUUAUUGCAGUCAUAUUGUUGAGUGUCAGUCAAUGAUGGGCUACUGCAUUGAACUAGACAACUACUUAAUCCAAAAUGUUUGUUUUCUGUGAUGAUAAACAUCUACCUAGUCAGUGGUUACUCAUCAAUAAUCAUCCCUGUUAUUUUGUACUAUUACUACUAGAAAGUAGAGGAGAGCCAUCCCAGUCCGAGUGAUAUUCAAGAGCCAGAUCAGAGAGACCCAACAUCCGUCCAGUCCAGCCCAGUCCAGGUCCAUGAAGAACCAAGAGGUGAUUGUCCUCCUUGUAAAAAGAGGAAAAGUACAGCACUGGACCAGCUGUUUGGAGAAACAUAUGUGGUAAGACCAUCAAGAAGCUCCAGGGAGAAGGUCAGCGAGGAAAUCCUGAGGUACAGAGAGAGAAACCUUUUGCCCCUGAAUGGCAAUCCACUGGAGUGGUGGAGAGCACAGGUGGACUUACCAUUGUUGUCAGAUAUUGCAAAAAGAUACCUCUGCAUACCAGCUACAAGUGUAGCAUCAGAAAGAGUUUUCAGUACCGCAGGAGAUAUUGUUUCCUCUCAACGCAGUGUACUUAGGGGUGACCAUGCCGAUCAAUUGAUUUUUCUCAAGAAGAAUCUUAAAAAACUCGAGCACAAAUGAAUUAUUAGGAGGUAGCUAAAGGAUAUCAGCAUACACUAAAUGUCCUACAAGAACAUACAUCUAACUAAAAGAGGAAACUGAAUCUAAAAAAAAGGGAUUGUAUUAGUUCUACUUAUAUAUUUUUUUUUUCUCCUUAUGCUGUGUUUGGCAGCAAUUUGUGCCAUUACAUUAAAGUAAUAAUCUAGGCCAGGAUGGCGGUUUUGGUUUAAACAAAAUUAGAUAUUUCCUAUUGCUGCUUCUUACAGUUCACAGCUUUACUUUGUGUUUGCAGUGAUAUUUCCUAGCUUCUUACAGUUCGCAGCUCUAUUUGUGUUCUCAGUGAAAGGUUGCACAUGUAUUAAUUGGUAUAAUGAUACCUUAUCUUGAGUCUGUCUGAUUUGCAGAGGCACUUAAUUUGCAGAAGCAUUUAUUCUAAAUAUGAGAAAAGGCCAAGGUCUAGCUCUGUUUUAUUUUAUUUUUGUAUUGUCAUCCAUCAACAAGAGACUUCUUUGGGUAUAGAAAAUAUAUUUUAUUUUACUAUUUUAUUUAAUAUUUAAAUAUAAUUUUUUUGUAUUUCCUUAUGGUGUAUUAAUUUGGCUGCAAUGUGUGCCAUUACUGGAAUGUAUUUUUUUUUUGUAUAUGUGAGACAAACUACAUACAGACUAAUUUCACAAUAAAAUGUUUGUUCAUAUUCAUUGAACAAAUGAAAAGAACUUUCAGAAUAUUUUCCAUUAUUGAACUGCAUCGAAUCGCAUCGCAUCGCACUGAAUCGUUUUUUAACAACAUGCAUCUUUUCUUAUAUCGUAUCGUGACCAUGUAUCGAGAUACGAAUCGGAUCGUUUUUUCAUGAGAGAUUUACACCCCAUAUAUAUAUAUAUAUAUAUAUAUAUAUUGUGUAUUUUGGGUGACCUUGGGUGUAAUGAAAGGCGCCUCUAAAUUAAAUGGAUUAUUAUUAUUAU